rnacentral:rRNA from 1 species
UACGUAGGGGGCAAGCGUUAUCCGGAUUUACUGGGUGUAAAGGGCGUGCAGCCGGGCCGACAAGUCAGAUGUGAAAUCCGCGGGCUUAACCCGCGAACUGCAUUUGAAACUAUUGGUCUUGAGUACCGGAGAGGUCAUCGGAAUUCCUUGUGUAGCGGUGAAAUGCGUAGAUAUAAGGAAGAGCACCAGUGGCGAAGGCGGAUGACUGGACGGCAACUGACGGUGAGGCGCGAAAGCGUGGGGAGCAAACAGG